GGGGGGUGGUGCAAUGGUGGCACCAGGUGCAGCGGCUAUAGUCCUUGACAUGGUUGUCCUGGGUUCGAUUCCCAGUCUCUGGCCA